UUAAGACAUCUUCAUAAUUGCCUGAAUUCAUCUUAUAAUGUAUGUGUUGUUUAAACGAUUAUAUUUUGUGGAGCGAUUCAGCACUUAAUGAUUUCACUCUGGAUGUGGGUCGUGGCCUCGAGCCAUUGUUGCAGAGAUUUAGAAUGAGCGGUUGUCGUAUUUUCAUCGGUCGAUUAAACCCCUCUGCUCGGGAGAAGGACGUCGAGCGGUUCUUCAAGGGUUACGGAAGAAUCAGGGACAUCGACCUGAAAAGAGGCUUCGGAUUUGUAGAAUUUGAUGAUCCGAGAGAUGCAGAAGAUGCUGUUUAUGAGCUUGAUGGUAAAGAGCUCUGCAAUGAGAGGGUGACCAUUGAACAUGCCCGUGUCCGUCUGCGUGGAGGCCGAGGCCGAGGUGGUGCUGGUGGUGGUGGAGGUGGAGGUCGUUUUCCUGGUCGGUAUAGUCGUGGCUCCCAGGACAGCCGGAGGAAUCCUCCACCAAUGCGCACAGAGAAUCGCCUCAUUGUGGAGAAUCUGUCAUCGAGAGUCAGCUGGCAGCCUGACUGUUGUGUCGUAUGGAAGAGCUCGCUAAUGGUGGAGUUAACCCCUACAGGGCCCCUCUCUCUGCUUAAGCCACUCCCAUUGUGUCCCACGCCUAGUUGACCUCCAUCGAUCGCAUGAGAGCUGUCUGUGAGUGAUGCCCUCUCGCUCUAGAAGCAGCGGCUGCCGCUACAAAGCACAGUUUGUGACGGUGCCGAGCUGAAAGAGAGAGACAGAGAGUGAGAGAGAGGGGCAGAAAGAGAGCGAGAGAAACAGAGAAACAGAGCCAAUCUCUGGUAUACACAGUCAAUCGAGGGGUUCGGUAAUUUGAGAGGCUUCGAUCGGUAUACUCACCCACCCUGGUCCCAGGUAUUAGUCUAUAAUCUCUUCCUCGCUGUUUACGCUCAAGGGGAUGGCACAAAUAGGGUACGAUCGAUGGAGUAAAGCCAUGUGCUCUACCACACUCUAUACACUUUUGUUUUGGUAAGAAUGCAUCUGCAAUGUAAAUGUAUUUGACAUUUUAUCAAAUGUGGGGCCCUUUUUUAACGAGCUGCUCCACAUAUUUCCUCUGCUAGUCUUGUAUUUCGGGGGUCAGGGAAUGUUACAGCGUUGCAAGCCAAAAUACCCUUGAUUAUACGCCACUCCUUUUUUGUUUCAGUGCUCGUUAAUUUGGUCUGACAAGACAGAAGUCUUUGUGUUUAGAAGCCAGGGUUGGCCUCACAAAGCUUUGAAUAGAGAUUUCUAAGACCAUGAAAUGGGGCUGAUUCACUCCUUUACAACACAUGUUGUGAUUUCAAAGGUGUCAGGUGCUUUUUGCAGUUCUUUCGUCUGAUUACUAAUCCAAACUGUUACCCUACACAGACCCUGUACCUUUUGUUGGUAUCCGUGUGCUGAAAUGUUCUUCAGCCUAAUUUGAUUGUUUGUAUUGAAGCAUAUUGAACAUGGUCCAGGCUUGAGCAUGAGCUGAGAGAUUCUCAGACCCCAACUAUGAUAGUUCAGUUACUGUGAUACUGCAUAAAACGUAUACUUAGCUAACUCUAAAUGCUGGUGUACUGUGUGUAGGAUUUGAAGGAUUUCAUGAGACAGGCUGGAGAGGUUACUUUUGCAGAUGCCCAUCGGCCAAAGCUUAAUGAGGGUGUGGUUGAGUUUGCUUCUCAUAGUGAUCUAAAAAAUGCCCUUGAGAAGUUGUCUGGGAAGGAGAUCAAUGGAAGG